UACGAAGGGUGCAAGCGUUACUCGGAAUUACUGGGCGUAAAGCGUGCGUAGGUGGUGAGUUAAGUCUGUCGUGAAAGCCCCGGGCUCAACCUGGGAAUGGCGAUGGAUACUGGCUCGCUAGAGUGCGGUAGAGGAGAGUGGAAUUCCCGGUGUAGCAGUGAAAUGCGCAGAUAUCAGGAAGAACACCCGUGGCGAAGGCGGCUCUCUGGGACGGUACUGACGCUGAGACGCGAAAGCGUGGGGAGCGAACAGG
rnacentral:rRNA from 1 species